GCCAGUCACAGCAUGGCGGGUACGGGGAUACUGCGCUAGCCGGGAGCCAGUCACAGCAUGGUGGGUACGCUGAUACUGCGCUAGCCGGGUGCCAGUCACAGCAUGGCGGGUACGGGGAUACUGCUCUAGCCGGGUGCCAGUCACAGCAUGGCGGGUACGGGGAUACUGCGCUAGCCGGGUGCCAGUCACAGCAUGGCGGGUACUGUGCCAGUCACAGCAUGGCGGGUACGGGGAUACUGCUCUAGCCGGGUGCCAGUCACAGCAUGGCGGGUACGGGGAUACUGCGCUAGCCUGGUGCCAGUCACAGCAUGGCGGGUACUGUGCCAGUCACAGCAUGGCGGGUACGGGGAUACUGCGCUAGCCGGGUGCCAGUCACAGCAUGGCGGGUACGGGGAUACUGCGCUAGCCGGGUGCCAGUCACAGCAUGGCGGGUACGGGGAUACUGCGCUUUGUGUCCGCCAUGUUGGGGUUGGCUAUCCGUGUCCGCCAUGUUGGGGUUGGCUAUCCGUGUCCGCCAUGUUGGGGUUGGCUAUCCGUGUCCGCCAUGUUGGGGUUGGCUAUCCGUGUCCGCCAUGUUGGGGUUGGCUAUCCGUGUCCGCCAUGUUGUGGUUGGCUAUCCGUGUCCGCCAUGUUGUGGUUGGCUAUCCGUGUCCGCCAUGUUGUGGUUGGCUAUCCGGGUCCGUGUCCGCCAUGUUGUGGUUGGCUCUCUGUGUCCGCCAUGUUGUGGUUGGCUAUCCGGGUCCGUGUCCGCCAUGUUGUGGUUGGCUCUCUGUGUCCGCCAUGUUGGGGUUGGCUAUCCGGGUCCGUGAUGUUGUGGUUGGCUCUCCGUGUCCGCCAUGUUGUGGUUGCGGCUAGCUAUCCGUGUCGCCAUGUUGUGGUUGGCUAUCGGUAUCGCCAUGUUGUGGUUGGCUAUCCGUGUCCGCCAUGUUGUGGUUGGCUAUCCGGGUCCGCCAUGUUGGGGUUGGCUCUCUGUGUCCGGCAUGUUGUGGUUGGCUAUCCGUGUCCGCCAUGUUGUGGUUGGCUAUCCGUGUCCGCCAUGUUGGGGUUGGCUAUCCGUGUCCGCCAUGUUGUGGUUGGCUAUCCGUGUCCGCCAUGUUGGGGUUGGCUCUCCGUGUCCGCCAUGUUGGGGUUGGCUAUCCGUGUCCGCCAUGUUGGGGUUGGCUCUCCGUGUCCGCCAUGUUGGGGUUGGCUCUCCGU